GGGGGCCCGCAAGCGGUGGAGCAUGUGGUUUAAUUCGACGCAACGCGAAGAACCUUACCUGGGCUCGAAAUGUACAGGAAUCACUUGGAAACAGGUGCGCCCAGCAAUGGGUCUGUAUAUAGGUGCUGCACGGCUGUCGUCAGCUCGUGUCGUGAGAUGUUGGGUUAAGUCCCGCAACGAGCGCAACCCUUAUCUCCAGUUGCUACCAUUUAGUUGAGCACUCUGGCGAGACCGCCUCGGAUAACGGGGAGGAAGGCGGGGAUGACGUCAAGUCCUCAUGGCCUUUAUGUCCAGGGCUACACACGUGCUACAAUGGCCGGUACAAACCGCUGCGAACCCGCGAGGGGGAGCCAAUCGGAAAAAGCCGGCCUCAGUUCGGAUUGGAGUCUGCAACUCGACUCCAUGAAGCUGGAAUCGCUAGUAAUCGCAGAUCAGCACGCUGCGGUGAAUACGUUCCCGGGCCUUGUACACACC
rnacentral:rRNA from 1 species